GUGUCAGCAGCCGCGGUAAGACAGAGGGGGCAAGCGUUGCUCGGAAUCACUGGGCGUAAAGGGCGCGUAGGCGGGAUGGCAAGUCGGUCGUGAAAUCCCUCGGCUCAACUGAGGAGAGUCGGCCGAUACUGCUGUUCUUGAGGGAUGCAGAGGAGACUGGAAUUCCCGGUGUAGCGGUGAAAUGUGUAGAGAUCGGGAGGAACACCGGUGGCGAAGGCGGGUCUCUGGGCAUCUCCUGACGCUGAGGCGCGAAAGCGUGGGGAGCAAACGGGAUUAGAAACCCGCGUAGUCC
rnacentral:rRNA from 1 species